UGUGCUUUUCUCAGUCGGAGACAGACAACCAAUUCUUUUUGUCUUUUAAACCAGAAAGACGGCUGACAGAUCUAACCGACACUCGCGCCACAGAAACUAAUUUAACAGAGCAAAGGCAGCAUGGAGUGCUGGGAUGUCAAAGGCAACAAGAUGUCUGCAAUACUACGAGCCUAAAGUGAAAAAAAGGAGCCUGAGCAGGAGCAGAAGGCAGCAGUCCCCAUCAUUGCUGCUGAGGAGGAAGAGGAAAUGUCACGAGGGAACCCACUGGAUGUUUUGAUUGUCUUUGAAGACGGAGAGGUGAUGUCAACCAAGUCUAGGGUCAGUGCACUGCUGCUGCUUUUGCACUUUAUGCCCUUAUUUAGAGAACACUAACUUCUCAAAGCAGCUUUACAGAAAAUGCAUGUGUCUACAUUACAAUUCAGCCUGAUCUGUACUAUACAUACUAUACUUUUCAACUUGAAUAGUGUUGUAUCAUGUGAUUUAAAGUGAUGCUAUAUGGGUGUACUCACUUCUGUUGUAUACUGUAUGUUUGACUAAUACACUGGAAGCAAUAUUGACGUGACAUACUGAUACAAUUCCUCACCGCUAAUCAUGAUGUUCAUUCUAUUAAGUAGUACGGGUUUAAUACAGGAGAUUUACAGUCGAUGU